GACGAACGCUGGCGUCGUGCUUAACACAUGCAAGUCGAACGGAAAGGCCCUGCUUUUGUGGGGUGCUCGAGUGGCGAACGGGUGAGUAACACGUGAGUAACCUGCCCUUGACUUUGGGAUAACUUCAGGAAACUGGGGCUAAUACCGGAUAGGAGCUCCUGCUGCAUGGUGGGGGUUGGAAAGUUUCGGCGGUUGGGGAUGGACUCGCGGCUUAUCAGCUUGUUGGUGGGGUAUUGGCUUACGACGGCUUUGACGGGUAGCCGGCCGGGGAGGGUGACCGGCCACAUUGCGACUGCGAUACGCCCCAGACUCCUACGGGCGGCAGCAGUGGGGAAUCUUGCACAAUGGGCGGAAGCCUGAUGCAGCAACGCCCCGUGCGGGAUGACGGCCUUCGGGUUGUGAACCGCUUUCGCCUGUGACGAAGCGUGAGUGACGGUAAUGGGUAAAGAAGCACCGGCUAACUACGUG
rnacentral:rRNA from 1 species